UGGGGAAUAUUGGACAAUGGGCGAAAGCCUGAUCCAGCCAUGCCGCGUGUGUGAAGAAGGUCUUCGGAUUGUAAAGCACUUUAAGUUGGGAGGAAGGGCAGUAAGCGAAUACCUUGCUGUUUUGACGUUACCGACAGAAUAAGCAUCGGCUAACUCUGUGCCAGCAGCCGCGGUAAUACAGAGGGUGCAAGCGUUAAUCGGAAUUACUGGGCGUAAAGCGCGCGUAGGUGGUUCGUUAAGUUGAAUGUGAAAGCCCCGGGCUCAACCUGGGAACUGCAUCCAAAACUGGCGAGCUAGAGUAGGGCAGAGGGUGGUGGAAUUUCCUGUGUAGCGGUGAAAUGCGUAGAUAUAGGAAGGAACACCAGUGGCGAAGGCGACCACCUGGGCUCAUACUGACACUGAGGUGCGAAAGCGUGGGGAGCAAACAGG
rnacentral:rRNA from 1 species